rnacentral:lncRNA from 1 species
UUGGACCAGAUGAUCUUGGAGGUCUUUUCCAACCUUGAUUAUUCUUUGAUUCUGUGAUCAGGGGUUGCUGCCUUUUUCCCCCAGCCCCUCAGAGGCCGGUUUCACUUUGGGCCGCCGCUGUCACCGCCGGCUGGAAGAGGACAGGCCUUCUUCCCAGGCAGGAGGUUUCAGCUUGCUCUCACGGAGCAGAACGCAAGUUUUAACUUUGUACCACUAGAUGGCAAGCACGGACCAUCAGAUAAAUGACCUGAUGCCUUCCAGGCGUUGCUUCACAUCAUAAUUAAUCUCCGGUCCUAUCCUACGCUACAUACAGCCGUAACACACCAAGGAAUUUUUGCCACCUGGUCUAUCUGUUGCAAAACCCAGAUCAGCUUUGAACAAAGCGGGGUUACGUCCAGCCAGCUCUGAAUUACUGACUCCAAAGAGAUGCUGAAAUGCAAAAAAAUGCAAUAACAAUCCAGAACUAAAACUUCAGUAUAUCAGGAAAGGAUGGUUGUGCCUCCACUGGACAUCAGAUAUGUGCUUCAGUGUGACACUGAAACUGGAUCUGUGGCAUGCAGUUAUCAAGUGCAGGUGUGUCGAAGAAUGAGAAGCCAAUAGGAUGGCAAUUCUAGACAUACUGUAGGAGAAAGUGCCUCUGCUUAUCAUCCAGACAGCCAUUCACAAUUCAGAAUAAAUAGCUUUUGCUGUCUCA